ensembl:lncRNA
GUAGCACUGGACUUAUUUAUUUUUGCAGCUGAUAACUCUUACCGCGUAUAACCAGUCAUGUGAAGAGGAAAGUUAGGAACAUGAAGUCCCCCUGAUUCCGGAUUGAACUGUUUAGAAGCUGCAUGGACCGUGCUAACUAAUCAGUGGGUGAGACACAGCGUUCAAGGGCCAAUAAGGUGGAUUCUUUUGAGCCACCAGGGAAGAGAGGGAAGGCAACACUGCCUCUCUCCCAGGACCAGUGGAAGCAGUAAUGGAGCUGUGUGUCACCAUGAGUAGCUAUUUCUGCCACUUAAUUUGGGGGAUACAAGAAAUGAAGCCAGUAUGAAGGAAAGGAAACUGGGAGCCAGGAAGUCUAAAUGACUUGCCUGGAAGCUGUAUGCUGUGCCCAUGGGAAAGCUGGGCUGGAACCCAUCCUCCAACCUUCCCAGCUCAGUGUUUCUCUUCAAAUACACUUUCCGUGAAUACUCUGGACAUAUAUCCUACUUUCAUGGUCAAAGCUAAAUCCUUGGAAGAAAGCAAGAAUGAAUUUUCCCCUGUGAUUUCAAAAUAAGAGAAACAUGUUGUAAUUGUAAUACACCAUGCUUUUAAGAAUGUACAGUUCUCUGUAGAAUCUGUAGGUCAUAAAGUGCUUUCUAACACAUUUAAUCUCUGUAACAAUUCAGGUGAAGAUUGUUAUUAAUACCAGAUAUAGAAGAGGCUUGGUCAAGGUUUCCAAAAAUCAAAAUUGGGACUCAGGAAAGGUUUGAGUUUUCAAUUCCAUUUUAGGAGUUUUUGUUAUGCUAUAAGAAAGAUGAUACCUAAGUGCUCUUAAGUAUGAGUGAUCAUUAGUCACGGAGAGGAGACUCCCAGAUAUCCCCCACUUCCUUUAGCUCCACGCUGAAGCUAGGCUCUGCCUCAGUGUAUCCUAAAAUGUUGACACCCACACUGCUGUGACAUGCCAAUUCAUAGUGGACUGAGUUUUCCAGCUCAUCAAUCAACAAAAACUCACUUACUUGAGAAAGGCCUAGUUGAAUCCACACUAGCAGUGGCAACAAUAAUAAAAACAGUUGAUGUUUAUCAGAUACUUUUUCUAGAUGACUUUUAAGUUAUUGACUGAUUUUAUUUUCCCAGCAAAGCUAUGACCAUUAUAUUUCAAUUUUAUAGAUGAGCCACAGAGAGGGUAGGUAACCUACUUCAGGUAACACAGCUAGUAAAUGGCAGGUAAGUAAAAUUUGCAUUUUUGUUUUUCUUAUUAAAAGUGUUGGGAAGAUCCCUUGGAGAAGGAAAUGGCAGCCCACUCCAGUAUUCUUGACUGGGAAAUCCCAUGGACAGAGGAGCCUGGUGGGCUACAGUCCAUGGGAUCGCAAAGAGUUGGACACAACUGAACGUCUAACACUUUCCUUUUCAGUAUUUUCAUAUCGUUAACUCCAACUGUUCAAUCCUUCAUCUAUGGUCUAAGAUUCUCCCCUUGCUGAAGCUCAGGUUCUCAGCUCCAAAACCACUGGGUUGAACUAGCAGUUCAUUCUAGUACUAUUGUCCCCUCCCCACUACUGAGGGCUUCCCUUGUGGCUCAGCUGGCAAAGAAUCCGUCCAUAAUGUGGGAGACCUGGGUUUAAUUCCUGGGGGGAAGAGCCUCUGGAGAAGGGAAAGGCUACCCAUUCCAGUACUCUGGCCUGGAGAAUUCCAUGGGGUUGCAAAGAGUUGGAUACAACUGAGGGA